rnacentral:rRNA from 1 species
UACGUAGGUGGCAAGCGUUGUCCGGAUUUACUGGGCGUAAAGAGCGCGCAGGCGGUCGUCCAAGUCGCGUGUGAAAGCCCCCGGCUCAACUGGGGAGGGUCAUUCGAUACUGAUCGACUUGAAGGCAGGAGAGGGUAGUGGAAUUCCCGGUGUAGUGGUGAAAUGCGUAGAUAUCGGGAGGAACACCAGUGGCGAAGGCGACUACCUGGCCUCUUCUUGACGCUGAGGCGCGAAAGCUGGGGGAGCAAACGGG